rnacentral:rRNA from 1 species
GUCGAACGAGAAAGCCCUUCGGGGUUAGUAAAGUGGCGAACGGGUGAGUAACACGUGGGCAAUCUGCCCUUCGUUGGGGGACAACCGGGGGAAACUCCGGCUAAUACCCCGUAAGCUUGUCGGGUCGCAUGGCCUGACAAGGAGAGGUAGCUUCGGCCAUCCGGCGAAGGAGGAGCCCGCGGUACAUUAGCUAGUUGGUGAGGUAACGGCUCACCAAGGCUACGAUGUAUAGCUGGUCUGAGAGGAUGAUCAGCCACACUGGGACUGAGACACGGCCCAGACUCCUACGGGAGGCAGCAGUCGGGAAUCUUGCACAAUGGGCGAAAGCCUGAUGCAGCAACACCGUGUGAGCGACGAAGGCCUUAGGGUCGUAAAGCUCUGUUUGCGAGGACGAAGGGCGAAGGGUUAAUAGCCCCUAGCCUGACGGUACUUGUACAGAAAGCCCCGGCUAACUACGUGCCAGCAGCCGCGGUAAUACGUAGGGGGCGAGCGUUGUCCGGAAUUAUUGGGCGUAAAGGGCGCGUAGGCGGCCUGGUAAGUCUGCUGUGAAACCUUGGGGCUCAACCCCAAGCGUGCAGUGGAUACUGUCAGGCUAGAGGAUGGUAGAGGCCAGUGGAAUUCCCGGUGUAGCGGUGAAAUGCGCAGAUAUCGGGGAGGAACACCAGUAGCGAAGGCGGCUGGCUGGGCCAUUCCUGACGCUGAGGCGCGAAAGCUAGGGGAGCGAACAGGAUUAGAUACCCUGGUAGUCCUAGCCGUAAACGAUGAACACUAGGUGUGGGGGGAGUCGAAUCCCUCCGUGCCGAAGCCAACGCGUUAAGUGUUCCGCCUGGGGAGUACGGCCGCAAGGCUAAAACUCAAAAGAUUGACGGGGGCCCGCACAAGCAGCGGAGCAUGUUCUUUAAUUCGAUGCAACGCGAAGAACCUUACCUGGGCUGACAUGCACUGCAGCGCAAGGAAACGUGUGACCUUCGAGGGUG